GGGCUCCACACCUAAAUGUUGUAGAAUACCAUGGGACUGCUAAAGCAAGAGCUGUGAUUCGUCAAUUUGAAUGGCAUUCAAGGGAUCAAAGUGACCUGAAUAAGAGGUCUACUUCAUACAAGUUCAAUGUUCUUUUGACUACAUAUGAAAUGGUUCUCGUUGAUUCCACUUAUCUGCGUGGGAUCCCAUGGGAAGUUCUUGUCGUUGAUGAGGGACAUCGUCUU
rnacentral:misc_RNA from 1 species